CCUACGGGAGGCAGCAGUGAGGAAUAUUGGUCAAUGGCCGGAAGGCUGAACCAGCCAUGCCGCGUGAAGGUCAGUGCCCUAUGGGCGUUAAACUUCCUUUGUGCGGGAGCAAUAAUGAUCACGUUUGGCCAGACGAGAGUACCGUACGAAUAAGCAUCGGCUAACACCGUGCCAGCAGCCGCGGUAAAACGGGGGAUGCAAGAGUUAUCCGGAUUUAUUGGGGUUAAAGGGUGCGUAGGCUGGGAGGUAAGUCAGCGGUGAAAUGCCCCCGCUCAACGGGGUGAAGUGCCAUUGAUACUGCCUUGCUGGAAUGCGGAUGCCGUGGGAGGAAUGUGUGGUGUAGCGGUGAAAUGCAUAGAUAUCACACAGAACACCGAUUGCGAAGGCAUCUCACGAAUCCGCGAUUGACGCUGAUGCACGAAAGCGUGGGUAUCAAACAGGAUUAGAUACCCCAGUAGUC
rnacentral:rRNA from 1 species